rnacentral:rRNA from 1 species
AGAGUUUGAUCCUGGCUCAGGAUGAACGCUAGCUACAGGCUUAACACAUGCAAGUCGAGGGGCAGCAUUUUAGUUUGCUUGCAAACUAAAGAUGGCGACCGGCGCACGGGUGAGUAACACGUAUCCAACCUGCCGAUAACUCGGGGAUAGCCUUUCGAAAGAAAGAUUAAUAUCCGAUGGUAUAUUUUCUCCGCAUGGUGAGAAUAUUAAAGAAUUUCGGUUAUCGAUGGGGAUGCGUUCCAUUAGUUUGUUGGCGGGGUAACGGCCCACCAAGACUACGAUGGAUAGGGGUUCUGAGAGGAAGGUCCCCCACAUUGGAACUGAGACACGGUCCAAACUCCUACGGGAGGCAGCAGUGAGGAAUAUUGGUCAAUGGGCGAGAGCCUGAACCAGCCAAGUAGCGUGAAGGAUGACUGCCCUAUGGGUUGUAAACUUCUUUUAUAAAGGAAUAAAGUCGGGUAUGUAUACCCGUUUGCAUGUACUUUAUGAAUAAGGAUCGGCUAACUCCGUGCCAGCAGCCGCGGUAAUACGGAGGAUCCGAGCGUUAUCCGGAUUUAUUGGGUUUAAAGGGAGCGUAGAUGGAUGUUUAAGUCAGUUGUGAAAGUUUGCGGCUCAACCGUAAAAUUGCAGUUGAUACUGGAUAUCUUGAGUGCAGUUGAGGCAGGCGGAAUUCGUGGUGUAGCGGUGAAAUGCUUAGAUAUCACGAAGAACUCCGAUUGCGAAGGCAGCCUGCUAAGCUGCAACUGACAUUGAGGCUCGAAAGUGUGGGUAUCAAACAGGAUUAGAUACCCUGGUAGUCCACACGGUAAACGAUGAAUACUCGCUGUUUGCGAUAUACAGCAAGCGGCCAAGCGAAAGCGUUAAGUAUUCCACCUGGGGAGUACGCCGGCAACGGUGAAACUCAAAGGAAUUGACGGGGGCCCGCACAAGCGGAGGAACAUGUGGUUUAA